rnacentral:tRNA from 1 species
GCCCCUGGAGGUCGGAUAGCGCGGUUUCCUAAACCGUGCGUCGCAGGUUCGAAUCCUGCCGGGGGCACCA